rnacentral:lncRNA from 1 species
GAGCCAAGAUUGCGCCACUGCACUUCAGCCUGGGAGACGAGCGAAACUCCAUGUCAAAAAAAAAAAGUAAUGAAGUACUGAUACAUGCCACGACACAGGUGAGCACUGGAGAAUUAUGCUAAGGAAAGAAGCCAGUCGUAAAAGGCCACAUAUUAUGAUUCCAUUUAUACGAAAUGUCUAGGACAGGAGAAUCCCUGGAGACAGAAGGCAGGUUAAUGGAUGUCCACAGUUUGAGAGGCAGGACAAGUGUGUAGAUUCUGGGAGUGAUGGCUAAGGCGUGUGGGCUUUAUUUAGGGAAUGAAAAUAUUCUAGAAUUGAUUGUGGUGACGAUAGCACAACAUUGUGA